rnacentral:rRNA from 1 species
AUUGAACGCUGGCGGCAGGCCUAACACAUGCAAGUCGAGCGAGCGGCGGACGGGUGAGUAAUGUCUGGGAAACUGCCUGAUGGAGGGGGAUAACUACUGGAAACGGUAGCUAAUACCGCAUACCAUCAGAUGAGCCCAGAUGGGAUUAGCUAGUAGGUGGGGUAACGGCUCACCUAGGCGACGAUCCCUAGCUGGUCUGAGAGGAUGACCAGCCACACUGGGACUGAGACACGGCCCAGACUCCUACGGGAGGCAGCAGUGGGGAAUAUUGCACAAUGGGCGCAAGCCUGAUGCAGCCAUGCCGCGUGUAUGAAGAAGGCCUUCGGGUUGUAAAGCACUUUCAGUGGGGAGGCGUUACUCGCAGAAGAAGCACCGGCUAACUCCGUGCCAGCAGCCGCGGUAAUAC